CUACGAUGGGUAGGGGUUCUUACUGGAAGGUCCCCCACACUGGCACUGAGAUACGGGCCAGACUCCUACGGGAGGCAGCAGUAGGGAAUAUUGGUCAAUGGGCGCAAGCCUGAACCAGCCUGCCGCGUGCAGGAUGAAAGCUCUCUGAGUUGUAAACUGCUUUUGUACAGGAGCAAAAAAAUCCCUGCGGGGGUUCUUGAGAGUACUGUAAGAAUAAGCACCGGCUAAUUCCGUGCCAGCAGCCGCGGUAAUACGGGAGGUGCAAGCGUUAUCCGGUUUUAUUGGGUUUAAAGGGUGCGUAGGCGGCUUAUUAAGUCAGUUGUGAAAUCCUAGUGCUUAACGCUAGAACUGCAAUUGAUACUAUUAGGCUUGAGUUAAGAAUAGGUA
rnacentral:rRNA from 1 species